UCGGUAAUUAUUCAUCAAGUUUCUGGAGCCUCCCUUAUACAAAGGUAUAACUUUAGCAGUUUUCAUUGAAGUCGGUAUUAUACCCCUAUCGAUUAUACU
rnacentral:lncRNA from 1 species